AUAUAGGAAUAUCUUUAUUUACUCUGCAACAAUUGUGCAAAGUAGUAGUGGAUGCGGCACUUUUUAACACUGACUUAAUUUUGUUUUUUGGCAUUUGGUUCAAUUUUGUGUUUUUGGCAAUGUUGAUGUGUUAACAUUAGAAAAUACCCUGAGAUUUUGGAUUCUUCAGUGGUAGGCACGGUUUCAUUGUGGCGAUCAUGGGUGUUGAAAGCGUUGGUAAAGGUCUAAUUCGUGGUGGAACUGGUUUUGUUACUUUCCCCGUGAAAUAUCAAUGUGUUGUAUUUCGACCUUUCAAAGGUGAAAUUUUGGAAGCCGUUGUAACCAUGGUUAACAAGAUUGGAUUUCUUGCUGAAUGCUGAAGCAGGGCCAGUGCAUAUUUUCGUUUCAAACCACGUGAGUUGGUUUUGUAUUCUAGAAUGUUAGAAGGCCAGAAUAUGUUGUUCUCUUCUGACUCUUAAGGUCAGUUGAUACCAGAUAACAUGGAGUUUCAGUCAGGAGAUGUGCCAAACUACACAACUUUCGAUGGCUCCGUCAAAUUUUAGAAGGAAAGUGAAGUUAGAUUGAAGAUCAUUGGAACUCAUGUUGACGCCACAAAAAUGGUUUUGCUGUGCGUUUGGAUUCAGAGUUUGUUCAGUUCAUUUCUACUUUGGAAUUAUCAUUCUACAUUAAAAUCUUCAAGAGCUUUACCUAUCAAAAAAUCUUUGACUUCUGGCUGUGUUUGAGCCGGUUGACAUCAUUUUCUUUUAACAUGAAGUUUUAGAUAUUUCAAAGACAGACUUCGGUAUAUUAUUUGUGUUUAUGAGUCGAUUUUUCUUAACCAAUGCAAGUUAUUGUAUCAUGUAUUCCAAGUGCUUUGCUGGAGAUUGCAAGACUUUGUUACAGUGGUCUUUCUGAAUAUUUUCUUCAGCGGUACUGAUUAUCUGGACAAUCAAGUUGAUGAUUUUGUGUUG